ACUAAAUAUAACAGUAGAUUAUGUGUUAAUUAACAAAUUCAGCUAUGUUAUUUAUUUUCAUAAUGUAAGCAAUUUACAUAACUAUUUUAGAUCUGGAUCUAAUGUUGAAAAAUACUCUUUGGAUAUUGGGGAUGAUGGUAGAUUUGUUGCUGUACCAGAUGCUGUGAUCUGCCAUCCAACUACAGAAGAGGACAACUUAUGUGCUGUAGUAGAAGUUAAGAAAUAUUGGUCAGAUGAAGAAACUUCAAACCAAACUGUACGCAGCCUAAGAAAAUGUGAAAGAAAAAUUUCUAAUCCACUUCAUGUUGGAUCAGAUUUACAAGGUCAGCAUGUUGGACAGAUUCUUUGUGCUCUACCUUACUCAUUGUUUGGAGAGAGGGGAAAUUUUGGAAUUCUGGUUCAAGGAACAAAAGUUACAAUUUCAUCAUUCAAAGCAGACAAUUCAUACUACAAAAACCUACAAAAUGGAUUUCUAAUGAAAAAAGGAGCAACAAUAACAUUCAGCAAAGAAUGCAACAUACUUCGAAAGGAAGGGAGAAUUGAGUGUAUUCAAACAUUUCUUCAUUUAAAGAAACUAUUGGAGUUUUUAAGUAAAAAAUCUUUUCCAUGAUUUAUUUUCUAAGCUUUAUAUGUUUCACUUGAGUAUUAUUGACGUGGUGUUUGUUAACUUUUACUUUUCAAGCGAAGCAUUUCUUGAAUUACCUUGAUUAUAGAAUCAAGUGAGCCAUAACUCUGUUGUUGUCAUUGUAUAUAUUAUUCUUUAUCAGAAAUGAUAUUGGUGUGCAGUUUUUACAGAAAUGGCUCAGCCUGUAACUAUUUUCUUUAAAUUAUCUACUGUAUAACUAUUAAAGUGGUCACAUGAUGUUUAUUAAUGUUUAGCUCACCUGAGCCUAAGGCAAAUAUGGCCAGAAAAGAUUGAACUUCUGUGGGGUAUCCUGAGGUAUUGUGGAUUCAAGAUAGUUCAAAUCAUGUGAGGAUGGGGCUAAAAAUGGGGGAUCAACUUUUACAAAAAAAUUAUAUAGAAAAAAUCUAUAAAAUCUUCUCAAAAAUUUUUAGGGCAGAAAAGCUGGAACUUGUGUGGAAGCAUCCUUAAUUAAUGUAGAUUCAAGUCUGUUCAAAUUAUUGUCCCUGGGAUAGGGUGAGGCCACAAUUGGGGAUGAAUUUUUACAUAGGAUUAUAUAGAGAAAAUCUUUUUAUAAAAUUCUUCUUAUAAACUAUUAGGCCAGUCAGAUUAUUAUUCAAAUAAAAUCUUCAUGAACAUUCAUAAAUAUUCAAACACCUAUAUUAAUGUGGCAUCUUUAAUUUUAUAAAAGAAAGAUGUGAUAUAUUAUAAAUUAAUUAUGUACUAAAUUCUAAGAAACAUGUAAAUUCAUUGACAAACAGUCUCAGACAUCAUGAUCAAAUGGUCAUUACUAGAUCCUAAAUUCGAUGCUUCAUUUCUUAAUUAUAAAAUUUAUCUCCAAAAAAUGACAUAAUUUAUCAAUGAAUAUUCAGUCUUAGCAGAUGAUACAUUAUGCUUGUUUUGUGAUAAAUAAAAUCUUGUAAACUAGUGGUUUUAUUAAACAAACUAAAAAAGUGAAAUAUUUUAAAAUUGGCAUAAUUGUUUCUUGGGGAAAAAGUUAUAAAGACUCAAAGGACUAAGUGCGGUUUUAUGCAUUUUUUGCCCCCAAAAUCAAAGUUUAUGAAAGAGCUUUUAAAAUAAGGUGAAAGAUAGUUAAAAUCAUGUUGGAAAUAAAUGUGUAAAAGGUUAUCACCACAGUGACGUCAUAAUGUAGAAAUGAGGUCAUGAAGAUUGCAUUAUUUUGAUAAAUUGAUGAUUUGUGGCAAAAUAUGGGUGUUUUCCGAUGGUUUUUCGACUAGAAAACAUCGAGCGCAGGCUUGCUCAAGUACCAUUUUUUAGUAUAAUGUGUAUAAACUAUCUGAAGAAAACAUAUGUUAAAAUCGCACUUGAGCAGACCUGCGCUCUAUACUUCCGAUUGCAAAAUAAAGAGCAAAAAUGAGAAUAUUUUCAUUUGUGUGCAUAUUUGCGGGAAUUGGGUCAUUUAGGUGACGUCAUAGAUAAACAGCGAAUGAGCAAUGAUGACUAAAAUCAACAUCAAAGUUAUAGGAAUCCUCUAUACAAUGAUUUGUGAAGAUUUUAUUUUUAUACGAUACAAUUUAAAAAUUAGUUGAAAUCAGGGGCAGAUAUUUGACCAUACCGCACAUAGUCCUUUGUGUGGAAGCAUCCUAAUGUAGUGCUGAUUGAAUUUUGUUCCAUUCAUGAUAUCUGGUGUUUGGUUGGGCCACAAGGGGAGGGGGGGGACUCAAAUUUUUACAUGUGAAGAUAUAGAGAAAUCUUUAAAAAUCUUUUGGAAAAGCAUUUAGCCUAACAUGCUGAAAUUGUUGUGAAAGCAGAGUUUGUGCAGAUUAAAGCUUGAUCAAACUAUGACUCCCAGGUCUUUUCGAUGGCUGUUAGUGAAACCCCAGUGGUUUUGAUAGUAGUUGUUUACAUACAAAAAUCUACUUUUUAUAGGAGGAAUAAUGAUGAAAAUAUAUUUAUUACAAACAAUGUAAUAUGUAAUUAAAUGAAUUUUCUAAAGGUAAAGUUCACCUCUUUUUUGUUUCCUUAUACUGAAUCAGAGGACACCUGCUUGAAAUGUAAAUAUCAGUAGUGCUUACUGCAUGUACAUAUAGUAAAUGUAAUCCUGCUGUUGAUAUGUAUUUUACAUUGUUGUGGAAGGGUCAUGUGAAAAUGAUUAAAGCUGUCAAUGUGACAUAUCUUUUCGUCUGAACAAAUCCUAAUUAUUCUGAAUAAAUAAGUUAUUUGUACAAACAAAUAGCAAAUUGUCCCAUCAAAUCCUUACUUGUCAGAACAAACAACGUAUUCGUCAAACCAAAAUGAUUAUAUGUCUGAUGCAUUUUUUAAGCAAUGCACACAUUUUAUAUGAUUUUUAAAAUGUGUUUUUCAUGUAUCUUUACAAAUGUGUAUUUAUAAAAUUGUAUUAUGAAUUUGCAGUUAAUACAUAUUUGGUAUAAUCAGGUUAAAUUUUACCAACUAAAAAUAUUUGUACCAUAAACAAUGUUUAAGAACUUGUUGUUUCUCAGAUCAUAUUAUUUAUUAUCUUAUAUUUACUGAGCUUUCCAAACCAGUUUUGGAGACUUUAAAUAUACACUGCUCAAACGGACUGGGGGGUAUAUUGUUUUACCAUUGUGUGCCUGUCUGUCCAUUGGUAGUAAAUAUUCAUCGCAGAUGCUUGAAAUGUAAACACUUUCUUUGUGAAAGCAUGCCAUGUGGUGGGAUUUAAUUUUGCACCAACUGGAUGUCAAUUUCCUGUUAAAGGUCAACUUACCUUAUUUUGUAUAUCCACAUCAGAGCAGGGGUAUCACUAGGUAGCAUUGGCUCACUGACAUUUUGUUAUUACUGUUAUUAAUGCAAUUGUAUGCUUUUUUAAGGGAAAUGAAUUCCAUAUUAUAGCUGGUCCAGCUUAUGCCAUUUUAUGUUUAGGAAGACAAGUUUAGGAACUCAUGUUUGUGACCUGAAAGCUAUACUAAUUUUUCAUGCAAUUAAGUUGCUAAAAUGAGUGAAAUUUUACAAAAUUUGGUCUUGGUUGAAAUCGGAGACAUCUCUACAUUUUUCUGAGUAUAUUUAAAAUGGAUAAUUUACUGCUCAGAAAGAAGGAUAAAUCUAAUGACAUCUUUGAUUGAAAUUCCUACUAUUUUAAAUCUUUAUGUAUAAAUUGUUCCAAGCUUGGAUUUUUUAAAGUCUUUAAAUGUCUGCACAAUUCAGAUCAUGCUUGGAAUACACAACAGCGUUUCUUCCUUGAUUUGCUCUCUGAAUCACAUACUUUGUCAUUCUUUGGGUAUUUUUCAGCAUCUAAAUCUUGUAAUGUAUAUUCUAUGAGAUUUCAUUCAAAUGAUGAUUCUACUCAGAUUAUGGAUCAUACUACACAGAGAUCAAUGUUUGAUAACAAAAAAAAUAUUUUUAAUUUUUAGAAGGAAAAGCUACAUAUCAUUGAAUCAUUGCUCAUUGUUAUAUAUUGUAUAUAUCAUUAAAUUUGUUGAUAUUUGUAUAAAAAAUUAAUUCAUGAAUGUAAUAAAUGUAAAUCUAAUAAAAUUAUCAGAAACAUA